GCAAGAGAUAGAGAGAGAAGAGAGAAGAUGAAGAACAUGUUAUUGAUUUGUUGAAACUCCUAAGACUGAAGAGGUUAAGAAGAAACUCACAGACAGAGAUGUAAAAGAGGGUUUUGACAUCUCUAUCUUUUGGGUGCUAUUUUCUUGUGAAGACCCAUAAGGGUAAUGCAAAGAUUUUGCAUUAUAUAAUUUUCUUUUAUAAUUUUAAAUAUGCCAAUGCUAUUCGAUCAAAACUAAUGAUUAAAUUUUUUUUUUACAAAUAUUUUUGGCGUGGAAUUGUAGAUAUUCCUUUUUUGUCUAUGGAGGACAUGGUUUUUGCACUA